UGGGGAAUAUUGCACAAUGGGCGAAAGCCUGAUGCAGCAACGCCGCGUGCGGGAUGACGGCCUUCGGGUUGUAAACCGCUUUCAGUUCCGACGAAGCGCAAGUGACGGUAGGAACAGAAGAAGGACCGGCCAACUACGUGCCAGCAGCCGCGGUGAUACGUAGGGUCCGAGCGUUGUCCGGAAUUAUUGGGCGUAAAGGGCUUGUAGGCGGUCUGUCACGUCGGAAGUGAAAACUCAGAGCUCAACUCUGAGCCUGCUUCCGAUACGGGCAGACUAGAGGGAUGCAGGGGAGAACGGAAUUCCUGGUGGAGCGGUGGAAUGCGCAGAUAUCAGGAGGAACACCGGUGGCGAAGGCGGUUCUCUGGGCAUUACCUGACGCUGAGAAGCGAAAGCGUGGGGAGCAAACA
rnacentral:rRNA from 1 species